CUCCAGCCUGGGCAACAGGUUGAGACCUUGUCUCAAAACACAAACAAACAACACAAAAACAAACACAAAAUGCAUAGAUUUGACUGCAUCAAAACUAAAAGCUUUAUUAUGACACACUGCCCCCCCACACACACCCUACAAAGUUAAAAGAUAUACUACAGACUGGGAUAAAUAUUUGCAAUGUAUGUGAUAGACAAAGAGUAACCAGAAUAUAUAAAGAAAUCUUAUAAAUCAAAAAGAGAAAGAAAAACUCCAUGGAAAACUGGGCAGUGGACGUUGACAGGCAGGUCAUGUAAGAGAAAACUCAAAUAGCCAAGAUGCUUAUCCCCAAUAAUACUCAGAAAAACGCAGAGUGAAGUAACAAUAGCACAUCUUUUCACUCCUCAGGUUGGCAAGUGUCUUAAAGUCUACAUCAAAUAUCGGUGAGGGCGUGAAGCAAUGGGGUCUCUUGAACACUGAAGACAGAAACAGGCACCAGCACCAUCAUUUUGGGGAGAAAUUUGGCAUGAUCUUGUCAAGUUGAAGUGGUAUUAGACCAGAAAAACUACCAUCUGGGAGAGAAGGGGAAAGUGAAAAAGACAGACCUAGAAGCGAAGGAGAGAAAAGCAUUUUGUGGAUGCCUAUUUUUACAGGCUCAGAAGCCGCCAUCUGUGGGAGGGGGAAAGUCCCUAGUUCAUUGUUAUCUGACAAUCGGAGAAAAAGGUACUUUUUAAGAAAGUCAGCCAACUCCCAACUCCCAUGGCCUGAUGUCCCUUCAGUUUGCAUUUCCCUGUUCCCUCCCAGAGCUAUUUUGGGGGACUUGAUUUGCAUAUUAACCACCCUCACCCCAAAACUCUAAGACACAAUGGCAGCAACGUGUAUUACUAUGGUUGCUUAUUUUAUCACACCUCAUAUCAUCUCAGCAUGCUGCUAACUUCCUUCCAUGCACUAUUUCAUUUCAAUUCCUAACAACCCUGAGGUUGAGGCCAUCCUUUAGGGUCCUGGUGAGGGGGGGCCUUGUCCAAGGUCACACACUGUGGGGAACUGGAAAAGCAGGAUCUGCCCCUGGGCUCCAUGACUUGGAGACUAUGUUCUAGAAAACACAGCUGACAGAAAGCCAGGCAGCCAGUGACCGGAGAGCCACCUGCUCAGAGGGUGGAGUAGGUGGAAUUGUGCACACCCCCCUAACAAUUCCUGUCCCCCUGGACCCUUAGAAUGUGACCUUAUUUGGAAUGUAGGUCUUUGCAGAUGUAACUAAAGAUGAUAAGAUGAAAUCAUACUGGAUUUAGGGUGGGCCCUAAAUCUGGUGAUUGGUGUCCUUACAAAAAGAGAAAAGGGGCCAGGCGCGGUAGCUCACGCCUGUAAUCCCAGCACUUUGGGAGGCUGAGGUGGGUGGAUCACUUGAGGUCAAGAGUUCAAGACUAGCAUGGCCAACAUGGCAAAACCCCGUCUCUACUAAAAAUAUAAAAAUUGACCAGGUGCAGUGGCUCAUGCCUGUAAUCCCAGCACUUUGAGAGGCCAGGGUGGACAGAUCGCCUGAGGUCAGGAGUUCAAGACCAGCCUGCCCAACACAUUGAAAACCUGUCUCUACUAAAAAUACAAAAAUUAGCCGGGCGUGGUGGUGGGUGCCUGUAAUCCUAGCUACUCCGGAGGCUGAAGCAGGAGAAUCGCUUGAACUCGAGAGGCUGCAGUGAGCCGAGAUCAUGCCAUUGCACUCCAGCCUGGGAGACUGAAUGAGACUCGGUCUCAAAAACAAAAAAAGAGAAAAGGACACACAGAGGGUAAGGUCACGUGAAGGUCACAGAGGUCAGAAUGAUACGUCCACAAGCCAAAGACUGCAGACAACACCAGAGGCUGGGAUGGAAGAGGCCUGGGACACAUCUCCCCAUCCCAAAGCGUCCAGGAGCCAGUCCUGCCAACACCUUGAUUUUGGGCUUCUGGUUUCUGGAACUGGUGAGAAUGAGUUCCUGUUGUUGAAGCCCCCCAGUUUGUAGUAGUUUGUCACAGCAGCCACAGGCAACCAGGACAGAGGGUGUGUGCCUGAGUUAGCCAGGAUGGUCUGUAGGCCAGGUACUGUCUUUCCCUUUAUCUUUCCGGGCCACACAUUUGUCCUGGACUCCAAGGAGAAAGCCGACUUCUUCAGGGCCCAAAACCACUUGGAGAAAGCCCGAUUCUGCAGCCAACAACAGCGACAGCGGCUCCUUUUGCUCAGAGCCCACCGGUCACAUCACCUGCUGUCGCUUGAUACUUUUAAUGCUCCUAAGAAGUAGGCAGGAAGGGUAGGUGAAGUCUCUCCAUUUUGCACAAGGGCAAACUGAGGCCUGGGGAGGCGAGACCACUUGCCUGAAGUCACACCGUGCCGCACAUUUUGGCAGGGUGACAGAGGCAGAGGGAAGUGGGCACUCCUGUAUGCCAGCUGUUGGGCAUGUAAAUGGGUGUAUUCUUCCUAGGAGGGUAACAGGGCAGUUCCUUUCAUCUUUUGAAAAAAUAUUUGAGUCUCUCUGAUGUGCCAGGCUUGGGGACAAAGGAGGGGAUUGGCCCUAAACCAAUUUAUAUCAAAAUUUUAUUUCCUUUUUAUUGAGAUGGGAUCUCAUUUUGUUGUUCAGGCUGGAGUGCAGCCGCAAACUCCUGGGCUCAAGCAAUCCUCCCGCCUCAGCCUCCCAAGUAGCUAGGACUACAGGUGUGUGCCACCAUGGCUACCUUGGUUUCUAUCAACAUUUAAAAUGUCCUUAUUGCUUGACUUUACAAGAGACUCCCACGUGCACACAGGUGCUUGCUCCAGUCCUGCUUCAAGAGCCCUAAACCGGAAACCACCUCAAAGUCUGUUGCCCAGGACACCAUGGAAGACCCACACCACAGAGCACCACACCACUGUGUGGCAGGCCUGUAGACCUCACACACCCACAGGGAAAGGGGUCCUCAAUCUACGAUUAUGGGAAAACUGACAAAAUCAACCCCAACUCCCAGGAGGAGAGAGGGACUGGGUUGGUGAGUGAAACUUUGCAUUUUUUUUUCUAAUAGGUUUGGCUGAUACCAAACCUAUUAGAUAUGAUUUGGUUUGGCUGUGUCCCCACCCAAAUCUCAACUUGAAUUACCUCCCAGAAUUCUCAUGUGUUGCUGGAGGCACCCGGGGGAGGUAACUGAAACAUGGGGGCCAAUCUUUCCCAUGUGAUUCUCAUGAUAGUGAACAAGUCUCACAAGAUCUGAUGGGUUUAUCAGGGGUUUCUGCUUUUGCUUCUAAUUUUCUCUUGCUGCCGCCACAUAAGAAGUGCCUUUCGCCUCCUGCCAUAAUUCUGAGGCCUCCCCAGCCAUGUGGAAUUGUAAGUCCAAUUAAACCUCUUUUUCUUCCCA